rnacentral:rRNA from 1 species
UACGGGGGGAGCAAGCGUUGUUCGGAUUUACUGGGCGUAAAGGGCGCGUAGGCGGCUUUGCAAGUGACGGGUGAAAUCCCUCGGCUUAACCGAGGAACUGCCUGUCAGACUGCAUGGCUUGAGACCAGGAGAGGUGAGUGGAAUUCCCAGUGUAGCGGUGAAAUGCGUAGAUAUUGGGAGGAACACCAGUGGCGAAGGCGGCUCACUGGACUGGUACUGACGCUGAGGCGCGAAAGCGUAGGGAGCAAACAGG